CCUCUGGUGUCUAGUGGCUGAGAGUCCUGGUUUUCACCCAGGAGGCCCAGGUUCAAUUCCUGAACAGAGAA
rnacentral:tRNA from 1 species